rnacentral:rRNA from 1 species
GAUGAACGCUGGCGGCGUGCCUAAUACAUGCAAGUCGAGCGAACGGACGAGAAGCUUGCUUCUCUGAUGUUAGCGGCGGACGGGUGAGUAACACGUGGAUAACCUACCUAUAAGACUGGGAUAACUUCGGGAAACCGGAGCUAAUACCGGAUAAUAUUUUGAACCGCAUGGUUCAAAAGUGAAAGACGGUCUUGCUGUCACUUAUAGAUGGAUCCGCGCUGCAUUAGCUAGUUGGUAAGGUAACGGCUUACCAAGGCAACGAUGCAUAGCCGACCUGAGAGGGUGAUCGGCCACACUGGAACUGAGACACGGUCCAGACUCCUACGGGAGGCAGCAGUAGGGAAUCUUCCGCAAUGGGCGAAAGCCUGACGGAGCAACGCCGCGUGAGUGAUGAAGGUCUUCGGAUCGUAAAACUCUGUUAUUAGGGAAGAACAUAUGUGUAAGUAACUGUGCACAUCUUGACGGUACCUAAUCAGAAAGCCACGGCUAACUACGUGCCAGCAGCCGCGGUAAUACGUAGGUGGCAAGCGUUAUCCGGAAUUAUUGGGCGUAGAGCGCGCGUAGGCGGUUUUUUAAGUCUGAUGUGAAAGCCCACGGCUCAACCGUGGAGGGUCAUUGGAAACUGGAAAACUUGAGUGCAGAAGAGGAAAGUGGAAUUCCAUGUGUAGCGGUGAAAUGCGCAGAGAUAUGGAGGAACACCAGUGGCGAAGGCGACUUUCUGGUCUGUAACUGACGCUGAUGUGCGAAAGCGUGGGGAUCAAACAGGAUUAGAUACCCUGGUAGUCCACGCCGUAAACGAUGAGUGCUAAGUGUUAGGGGGUUUCCGCCCCUUAGUGCUGCAGCUAACGCAUUAAGCACUCCGCCUGGGGAGUACGACCGCAAGGUUGAAACUCAAAGGAAUUGACGGGGACCCGCACAAGCGGUGGAGCAUGUGGUUUAAUUCGAAGCAACGCGAAGAACCUUACCAAAUCUUGACAUCCUUUGACAACUCUAGAGAUAGAGCCUUCCCCUUCGGGGGACAAAGUGACAGGUGGUGCAUGGUUGUCGUCAGCUCGUGUCGUGAGAUGUUGGGUUAAGUCCCGCAACGAGCGCAACCCUUAAGCUUAGUUGCCAUCAUUAAGUUGGGCACUCUAAGUUGACUGCCGGUGACAAACCGGAGGAAGGUGGGGAUGACGUCAAAUCAUCAUGCCCCUUAUGAUUUGGGCUACACACGUGCUACAAUGGACAAUACAAAGGGCAGCGAAACCGCGAGGUCAAGCAAAUCCCAUAAAGUUGUUCUCAGUUCGGAUUGUAGUCUGCAACUCGACUACAUGAAGCUGGAAUCGCUAGUAAUCGUAGAUCAGCAUGCUACGGUGAAUACGUUCCCGGGUCU